rnacentral:tRNA from 1 species
CUCUGUAUAACUAACUAUAAGUGCUGGGUUCUUACCUCAGUAAUGUGUCUGACACUACAGGGU